UACGUAGGGUGCGAGCGUUGUCCGGAAUUAUUGGGCGUAAAGGGCUCGUAGGCGGUCUGUUGCGUCGGGAGUGAAAACUCAGGGCUUAACCCUGAGCCUGCUUCCGAUACGGGCAGACUAGAGGUAUGCAGGGGAGAACGGAAUUCCUGGUGUAGCGGUGAAAUGCGUAGAUAUCGAGAGGAACACCGGCGGCGAAGGCGGGUAGCUGGGCCGACACUGACGCUGAGGCGCGAAAGCCAGGGGAGCGAACGGG
rnacentral:rRNA from 1 species